GAUGAACGCUGGCGGCGUGCCUAAUACAUGCAAGUCGAGCGAACAGACGAGGAGCUUGCUCCUCUGACGUUAGCGGCGGACGGGUGAGUAACACGUGGAUAACCUACCUAUAAGACUGGGAUAACUUCGGGAAACCGGAGCUAAUACCGGAUAAUAUAUUGAACCGCAUGGUUCAAUAGUGAAAGACGGUUUUGCUGUCACUCAUAGAUGGAUCCGCGCCGCAUUAGCUAGUUGGUAAGGUAACGGCUUACCAAGGCAACGAUGCGUAGCCGACCUGAGAGGGUGAUCGGCCACACUGGAACUGAGACACGGUCCAGACUCCUACGGGAGGCAGCAGUAGGGAAUCUUCCGCAAAGGGCGAAAGCCUGACGGAGCAACGCCGCGUGAGUGAUGAAGGUCUUCGGAUCGUAAAACUCUGUUAUUAGGGAAGAACAAAUGUGUAAGUAACUAUGCACGUCUUGACGGUACCUAAUCAGAAAGCCACGGCUAACUACGUG
rnacentral:rRNA from 1 species